rnacentral:lncRNA from 1 species
GGCCCCUCUCCCCUCUCUUAAGCUUCUACUUUCUUCACUCUCUCUCCUUACUUUCUUACUCUCUAAGCUUUUACCUCUCUCUCUAAGCCUUCACCUUUCUUACUCUAUAACUCUCUUUCUCUUUCCCUUCCAGCAUGGGAUGCCAGAGACUGAGAACCUGGUACCGGGGGCUGCCCCUUGUCCACCCCCAGCUGUGUGGGUCAGUGGCUUCACACAGCCAGAUGCCCACCCAAGGCACGUGGAAAGCAUCCGGCAGUCCUCCCAUGUCUGCCUGCCCAAAGCACAGGAACUCUGUUCGGACUCUGGCUAUCUCCCUCCCCGCUCUUCCCCUACAUCUAUGGCCCCACAACAGAACGGCAGGAAACUGAAGUCCAGACUGCAAAAUGGUCAGCCCUCCUUUGAGGAAGAAGGGUAUCUAGCCUCACGUUGAGUUGUCUUCCCCCACACUGCAACAGAAGCAUUGAAUCCUUCGUAAGAAGACCUUUGACCCAUGGAUGCUAAUCAGCAAGCCAGAGUCUUUAGCAGUUCUUAGUUUUGUCAGCCUCCACAACUUCAUGAGACAAUUCAUCACAAUAAAUCUCUUUCCAUGUAUGUUUAUAAAUAUUCCAAUAGUUCUGUUUCUCUGGAGAACCCUGACUGGUACAAGUGUUAAACCCAGAGGAAAGAGUAACUACUUCCAUCAGUCUGGCAGCCA